CAAUAGCGUAUAUUAAAGUUGUUGCAGUUAAAAAGCUCGUAGUUGGAUUUCUGGCAGGAGCGACCGGUCGGCCCAUUGUGGUGUGUACUAGUGUUGCAUCUGGCCAUAUUUGUGGAGAGCGUGUGUGGCAUUAAUUUGUCGUGCUCGGGACCCGCAUCGUUUACUGUGAGAAAAUUAGAGUGUUCAAAGCAGGCUUAUGCCUUGGAUAUGUUAGCAUGGAAUAAUAAGAUAGGACUUCGGAACUAUUUUGUUGGUUUGCGUUACGAAGUAAUGAUUAAUAGGGACAGUUGGGGGUAUUCGUAUUUCGUUGUCAGAGGUGAAAUUCUCCGAUUUGUUAAAGACUAACUUAUGCGAAAGCAUUUGCCAAGGAUGUUUUCAUUAAUCAAGAACGAAAGUUAGGGGAUCAAAGACGAUUAGAUACCGU
rnacentral:rRNA from 1 species